AUAUAUAUAUAUAUAUGAUUAAUUUUUUCAUACAUUUAUUUAUGUAUGUGUUUAUUUCGGCUAGCCUAUAUAUUUAUUUUUCAGGAUCCAACCAAUGGCUGUUACUCUCAAACUGCAGUGUGCUCAGAAAUUAGUAUGAAGUCCCUUUCAAACCAGAGUCAAGCCAAAACACAUUCAGUCCAAAGAAGAUUUGAUUUUAUCACAUGGACAGAUGCAGCUUUGAAGGAAAACACACCUGUUAGCAGGGAUCACACGAAGGACAUCUGCAAUGAGACCAGUGUUUUUCUGGGGAUGUUCGAUGGCCUUUUUUAGAGUUUCUCUAAAGGAUUCCUGACACAUUUAACACUACGUUGUGUAAGGACGUUCUUGGUUUAACACUGAAUGUGGAUGACAUGUUGACAAAGAGCUUUCUGUCAAUUUUGAAAAGAAUGAACUAUAUGUUGAGAUGUAAUAUUUUAGAAAUAUUGGAAAAUUGCUCUGUAAAUAUUACAUGAAAUUAGAUUUUUAAGACUACCAAAAUUU